UGCAAUCUGUGAUGACGAUUGUGUUUUAUCUCUGACUUACAAGUGAUUAUUACACAAAAUAUCACCAUCUUUCGGCUGAGAUUGCA